rnacentral:rRNA from 1 species
AUUGAACGCUGGCGGCAGGCCUAACACAUGCAAGUCGAGCGAGCGGCGGACGGGUGAGUAAUGUGUGGGAAACUGCCUGAUGGAGGGGGAUAACCACUGGAAACGGGAGCUAAUACCGCAUACCAUCAGAUGUGAUCAGAUGGGAUUAGCUAGUAGGUGGGGUAACGGCUCACCAAGGCGACGAUCCCUAGCUGGCCUGAGAGGGUGACCAGCCACACUGGAACUGAGACACGGUCCAGACUCCUACGGGAGGCAGCAGUGGGGAAUAUUGCGCAAUGGGCGCAAGCCUGAUGCAGCCAUGCCGCGUGUGUGAAGAAGGCCUUCGGGUUGUAAAGCUCUUUCAGCAGGGAGGCGUUACCCGCAGAGAAAGCACCGGCUAACUCCGUGCCAGCAGCCGCGGUAAUAC